UUUUAAAAAUUCAUCCCUUUGUACUGUUAAAAAGACGUGGUUAAUAGAAAAAUCAGACAGUAACAUGUGGCAUAUCACGUGCUCCUCAUGUUGGUGCACAAGGACAAGUUUUUAACAGUAAAAAUGAUGGAAUUUUUAAUA
rfam:Gossypium arboreum cultivar AKA8401 contig_47835_1, whole genome shotgun sequence.